GAUGAACGCUAGCGGCAGGCCUAACACAUGCAAGUCGAGGGGUAGUUACUUUCGGGUAAUGAGACCGGCGCACGGGUGCGUAACGCGUAUGCAAUCUACCUUUUACAGGGGAAUAGCCCAGAGAAAUUUGGAUUAAUGCCCCAUAGUAUGUAUGAAUCGUAUGGUUUAUACAUUAAAGUUCCAACGGUAAAAGAUGAGCAUGCGUCCCAUUAGUUAGUUGGUAAGGUAACGGCUUACCAAGACGAUGAUGGGUAGGGGUCCUGAGAGGGAGAUCCCCCACACUGGUACUGAGACACGGACCAGACUCCUACGGGAGGCAGCAGUGAGGAAUAUUGGGACAAUGGGCGCAAAGCCUGAUCCAGCCAUGCCGCGUGCAGGAGAAGCAUCUAUGGUGUGUAAAACUUGCCUUUUGUACGGGAAGAAACACUCCUACGUGUAGGAGCUUGACGG
rnacentral:rRNA from 1 species